UUCAAGCACAUCUACCACCUGC
rnacentral:siRNA from 1 species